UUUUUUUUUUUUUUUUUUUUUUCUCCUACCGGGGAGCUGACUACGCAGCACGACUAUGUCAGAAACACAGGAUGAAAUGCUUGGCGUGUCCCCUUCUAUG
rnacentral:ribozyme from 13 species